rnacentral:piRNA from 1 species
UUGGUGACCUUGAUGACUUCAAACUCAUA